rnacentral:miRNA from 1 species
UUUGGGAGGCCAAGGCAGGAGGAUCACUUGAGCCCAGGAGUUUGAGACCACCCUGGGCAACAAAGUGAGACCCCCAUCUCUAAAAA